rnacentral:tRNA from 1 species
UCGCCUUUCGUAUAAUGGUAGUACACCUGUCUUCGAAACAGUGAAUUGGGUUCGAUCCCUGCAAGGCGGU